CUCCCGGUUGAUCCCGCCGGACCCGACUGCUAUCAGAGUGGGACUAAGCCAUGCGAGUCAACAUAGCAAUAUGUGGCAUACGGCUCAGUAACACGUAGUCAACAUGCCCAGGGGACGUGGAUAACCUCGGGAAACUGAGGAUAAACCGCGAUAGGUCAUCACUUCUGGAAUGGGUAAUGACUUAAAUCUAUAUGGCCCCUGGAUUGGACUGCGGCCGAUCAGGCUGUUGGUGAGGUAAUGGCCCACCAAACCUGUAACCGGUACGGGCUCUGAGAGGAGGAGCCCGGAGAUGGGCACUGAGACAAGGGCCCAGGCCCUAUGGGGCGCAGCAGGCGCGAAACCUCUGCAAUAGGCGAAAGCUUGACAGGGUUACUCUGAGUGAUUUCCGUUAAGGAGAUCUUUUGGCACCUCUAAAAAUGGUGCAGAAUAAGGGGUGGGCAAGUCUGGUGUCAGCCGCCGCGGUAAUACCAGCACCCCGAGUGGUCGGGACGUUUAUUGGGCCUAAAGCAUCCGUAGCCGGUUCUACAAGUCUUCCGUUAAAUCCACCUGCUUAACAGAUGGGCUGCGGAAGAUACUAUAGAGCUAGGAGGCGGGAGAGGCAAGCGGUACUCGAUGGGUAGGGGUAAAAUCCGUUGAUCCAUUGAAGACCACCAGUGGCGAAGGCGGCUUGCCAGAACGCGCUCGACGGUGAGGGAUGAAAGCUGGGGGAGCAAACCGGAUUAGAUACCCGGGUAGUCCCAGCUGUAAACGAUGCAGACUCGGUGAUGAGUUGGCUUAUUGCUAACUCAGUGCCGCAGGGAAGCCGUUAAGUUUGCCGCCUGGGGAGUACGGUCGCAAGACUGAAACUUAAAGGAAUUGGCGGGGGGAGCA
rnacentral:rRNA from 1 species